UACGUAGGGUGCGAGCGUUAAUCGGAAUCACUGGGCUUAAAGCGUGUGUAGGCGGGCGAUCAAGUACCUUGUGAAAUCCCACGGCUCAACCGUGGAACCGCUGGGUAUACUGGUUGUCUUGAGCCGGCUAGGGGCGAGCGGAACAGACGGUGGAGCGGUGAAAUGCGUAGAUAUCGUCUGGAACGCCGAAGGUGAAAACAGCUCGCUGGGGCCGCGCUGACGCUGAGACACGAAAGCCAGGGGAGCGAACGGG
rnacentral:rRNA from 1 species